AGAGUUUGAUCAUGGCUCAGGAUGAACGCUGGCGGCGUGCUUAACACAUGCAAGUCGAACGAGCGGCUCCCUUCGGGGGGCAGCGAGUGGCGGACGGGUGAGUAACGCGUGGGUGACCUGCCCCAUGCAGGGGGAUAACAGCUGGAAACGGCUGAUAAUACCGCAUAAGCGCACAGUAUCGCAUGGUACAGUGUGAAAAGCUCCGGCGGUAUGGGAUGGGCCCGCGUCUGAUUAGCCAGUUGGCGGGGUAACGGCCCACCGAAGCGACGAUCAGUAGCCGACUUGAGAGAGUGACCGGCCACAUUGGGACUGAGACACGGCCCAAACUCCUACGGGAGGCAGCAGUGGGGAAUAUUGCACAAUGGGCGAAAGCCUGAUGCAGCGACGCCGCGUGAGUGAGGAAGUAUUUCGGUAUGUAAAGCUCUAUCAGCAGGGAAGAAAAUGACGGUACCUGACUAAGAAGCCCCGGCUAAAUACGUGCCAGCAGCCGCGGUAAUACGUAUGGGGCAAGCGUUAUCCGGAUUUACUGGGUGUAAAGGGAGCGCAGGCGGCGAGGCAAGUCAGAAGUGAAAACCCGGGGCUCAACCCCGCGGAUUGCUUUUGAAACUGCCCGGCUGGAGUGCAGGAGGGGCAAGCGGAACUCCUAGUGUAGCGGUGAAAUGCGUAGAUAUUAGGAAGAACACCGGUGGCGAAGGCGGCUUGCUGGACUGUAACUGACGCUGAUGCUCGAAGGCGUGGGGAGCAAACAGGAUUAGAUACCCUGGUAGUCCACGCAGUAAACGAUGAAUACUAGGUGUUGG
rnacentral:rRNA from 1 species